rnacentral:rRNA from 1 species
GACGAACGCUGGCGGCGUGCUUAGCACAUGCAAGUCGAACGGAAAGGCCCUGCUUUUGUGGGGUGCUCGAGUGGCGAACGGGUGAGUAACACGUGAUUGACCUGCCCUUGACUUUGGGAUAACUUCAGGAAACUGGGGCUAAUACCUGAUAGGAGCUCCUGCUGCAUGGUGGGGGUUGGAAAGUUUCGGCGGUUGGGGAUGGACUCGCGGCUUAUCAGCUUGUUGGUGGGGUAGUGGCUUACCAAGGCUUUGACGGGUAGCCGGCCUGAGAGGGUGACCGGCCACAUUGGGACUGAGAUACGGCCCAGACUCCUACGGGAGGAAGCAGUGGGGAAUAUUGCAAAAUGGGCGGAAGCCUGAUGCAGCAACGCCGCGUGCGGGAUGACGGCCGUCGGGUUGUAAACCGCUUUCGCCUGUGACGAAGCGUGAGUGACGGUAAUGGGUAAAGAAGCACCGGCUAACUACGUG